UAUGAGGAUGCCACAUCCUUUCUUGCUCACCCAACACACGGCAUUCCUGUAAGCCUCAUACUGUCGAGUUGUUUGACGAGAUGUGCAUCAAUAAUUUCAGUUAAUCCGUGUGCUCGAUUUGAGUGUGACAGGUAUGUCGUUGUGUGCUUCUCAGUACAGUAGAGGUACCACACGGGGUGGUGACUGGGAGGCUGGUACAUGCUAGCACGGCCAAACAGCUGGUUCACUGCGAUCAGGGUGCUAGAGGCUCUUGGGGUUGCAGCUCGCUCGCCUGCUGGAGGUAAGUUUUAUAGCCUCUUUCUUUCAGUAGAUGCUCUUGGAGUAGAGAUAUCAUCCAGACUGUAUCUUUAGUGAAACUUGUAGCUAUGCAGCUUGGCCCUACUAUUCAUGUAGUAUCCCAUAUUCUCAUGCAUUAGGUUUUGUAAACUUUCAGCUCGGCCCUAUGCCAUGUUAAUUGUUAGUGUUUCCUUACAUAUUAUCUGCAUCAUUCUCUAGAAAAACAUAUUAUGUAUGUGCUCUCCUUUCUCUAUCUAAAAAAUCCAUUAUGCUGUCCUAGGCAUAUCACCAGCAAAAUCUGUGAGAGAUGUCACAACAACAGUUCCAUUGUACUGAUAUCAUAGGAAAGGCAUAUUUGCUACAUACUAAAGUUGAAGAAAUGUUUUCGCAAAGAAGAUUCAUUUUCACAUUGCUUGGCAUGCAUCUAGGUCAUGUUGUUUAUUAACACUGAUGAAAGCUGUACUUUUGUAUGUGAAUAGCUUCAAUUCGAGUUCUUCCUAUAUUUUCUGGUAAUUCAUCCCAUCAAAUAGUUUGAUAUUUUUGUCAUUAUUUCAAAAAAUUGAUAACCGCAACAAUCUGAUCAAGUAGUUUGAUAUUUGCUGUCCUUCUUCCAAUUUUUUUUUGAUACAAUUGGGUGCUAAUAUGAUCAUGGCCUGAGAUCAUUAAUGAGCAAGGACAUGCAUAGGGAUAUGGGUUCUUUCUACUAAUGCAUAACUCCGUAAUGAUGAAAAGAAGAGCAACAUAUCUCCUUUACCCAACAAGUUUUGUUCGAAACUAAUCAUGAUAUUUUCUUUCUGCAGGUACAAUGUUGAUUAUUUAGAGACCUCAUCUUCAUGAGACUAGCAAGGGAUGGACAUUCUGAAGAAGAAGAGAUGAGGUGAGUUUCUGAAGUUCACCGUCCAAUCCAAGUAUUAAAGGUGAGCAUUACUAUUCAAAGGGACAUAAUUAACCCGUUAAAUUAUUCUUAGAGCAAGGAACCAGUUAUUAUCUAACCGAAUAACUGUAAACUAGCUUCUUUUUCUAAAAUGAGGUGUUGUCUUUAAAUAGAUAUGGACCGGAGAGGGGGCUUGAGAAAUGCUAAUUAGGCUAGAGGCGUAUGAUAUUUUUUUCUCCAGUUGCAAUGCACGGGCAUGUUUGCUAUAAUAAUAAAGC
rnacentral:lncRNA from 1 species